UACGUAGGGCGCAAGCGUUGUCCGGAAUUACUGGGCGUAAAGCGCACGUAGGCGGCUUUGUAAGUAAGAGGUGAAAGCCCAGAGCUCAACUCUGGAAUUGCCUUUUAGACUGCAUCGCUUGAAUCAUGGAGAGGUCAGUGGAAUUCCGAGUGUAGAGGUGAAAUUCGUAGAUAUUCGGAAGAACACCAGUGGCGAAGGCGGCUGACUGGACAUGUAUUGACGCUGAGGUGCGAAAGCGUGGGGAGCAAACAGG
rnacentral:rRNA from 1 species